rnacentral:rRNA from 1 species
CUACGGGUCGCUGCAGUGAGGAAUAUUGCACAAUGGGGGGAACCCUGAUGCAGCAACGCCGCGUGGAGGAUGACGCAUUUCGGUGUGUAAACUCCUUUUAUAUGUCAAGAAAAUGACGGUAGCAUAUGAAUAAGCACCGGCUAACUCCGUGCACAGCAGCCGCGGUAAUACGGAGGGUGCAAGCGUUACUCGGAAUCACUGGGCGUAAAGGACGCGUAGGCGGGAUGGAAAGUCAGGUGUGAAAUCCUACAGCUUAACUGUAGAACUGCACUUGAAACUUCUAAUCUAGAGUAUGGGAGGGGGAGAUGGAAUUAGUGGUGUAGAGGUAAAAUCCGUAGAUAUCACUAGGAAUACCUAAAGCGAAGGCGAUCUCCUGGAACAUUACUGACGCUAAGGCGUGAAAGCGUGGGGAGCAAACAGGAUUAGAUACCCCAGUAGUC